CCCAUCGGAACCGUGUCCUCCCUUUGUCUUCUGUCCUUCCCCUGAAAGGUGUGGGGGGACCCGUAUCACGCGGAUCGGAGGUGGCGGGGCCGUGGGGGCUGUGGCGCCCCUGAGGCGAAGGCGGAGGCGCCAAGACGCCGCUCCUUGCCUUUCAGGAUGCCAGCGGGGUACAAGCAAGGUCGCGGGCAAGGCCGCACGGCGGCUCGGAGCUCCAAGGUGGGGCACGAAGGAAGCGAAGACUGCCGGCCGGAGGGCCAAGGCGCGGGCGGCGCCAGGCGGGCGGGGCGCGCGGAGCGCUGCUCUCGUGGGAGAAAGGAACCUCUGCAGAGGCGGCUCGGGCCGCCGCCGGAAGGCUGGGGGCCGGGACUCUUUACCCUUGUGGAUUAUUAAAGAAUACUGAGUAGAGCUCCCUGUGCUCUAACAGGAAUGACAAGGACAAAAGCCAGGAAAAAGCGAAGGA
ensembl:lncRNA